rnacentral:pre_miRNA from 1 species
AUAAGAAUCACCUGGGGACCUUGUUAAAAUGCUGAUUCUGACUCAACAGGUCUGGAAAGGUGCUAGACUCUGCAUUGCUAACAAGCUUCCAGGUGAUACAGAU